rnacentral:rRNA from 1 species
UACGUAGGGUGCGAGCGUUGUUCGGAUUCACUGGGCGUAAAGGGUGCGUAGGUGGUAGGAUAAGUCGGAUGUGAAAUCCCCGGGCUUAACUCGGGAAAUGCAUUGGAAACUGUCCUGCUUGAGGUUCGGAGGGGGGACUGGAAUUCUCGGUGUAGUAGUGAAAUGCGUAGAUAUCGAGAGGAACACCAGUGGCGAAGGCGGCCACCUGGGCCAACACUGACACUGAGGCACGAAAGCGUGGGGAGCAAAAGGG